UACAGAGGGGGCAAGCGUUGUUCGGAAUUACUGGGCGUAAAGGGCGCGUAGGCGGCCUGCUAAGUCGAACGUGAAAUCCCCAGGCUCAACUUGGGAACUGCGUCUGAUACUGGAUGGCUUGAAUUCGGGAGAGGGAUGCAGAAUUCCAGGUGUAGCGGUGAAAUGCGUAGAUAUCUGGAGGAAUACCGGUGGCGAAGGCGGCAUCCUGGACCGAGAUUGACACUGAUGAGCGAAAGCUAGGGGAGCAAACGGG
rnacentral:rRNA from 1 species